GCAGGCCGUACAGAAGUGCACCCUGCAGAGCAUUGAAGUCAUCACCACUGCAGUCAGGGCACCCGCUCUCAACCACAGCUGUGUUUUACUGACGCCCAAGAGAAGGAAGUUUCAUAGAAAAUUUAUUCUUAGAGGAAAAGAGGGAAUUGCACCCAGAAAUGACAAAGAUUUGCUGAUCAGACAAAAAAUAAGUAUCUUCGUUAAACUGCUCAUCGUUUGCAUCCUGUUGGUCACUGCGAUAUGCUACAUCGUGAUUGUCAUAUGCGAAAUUCCCUGCUCGUGCUUGUGCUCUGACUGGAUGGCCGGCGGACGGAGCAGCAGCGGAAGCACGUACGCAGCCUCAGAGCCAGUGGGUCACCAAACGGGAACGCUUCUAACCCAGCUACUUGAGGACACGAAAGAGAAAUCGCUGCAAUGUUUUGCCUGACUCUCAGACUCCCUUGCACAGACAGAAGCGUAAUAGCAAGACCCUUAAAUGAAAAGAUCCAAAAUCCUCAUUAUCCGUGAAACCCACCCAAGAAAUGCCGCAGGCCUUACUGGAACACCCUGUUUACUCAGACACCUCACCUUUCUCCUCACCACCUACUGGAAGCAGCAGACUGAACACCAGCAGCUUAAACCACCACAACCCAACCGCUGCAGACUGAAGCCAGACUUAACAUCAGAGGAAACAUUUACCUGGUUAGGGGCAGUCACAUCAAUUCACUGGGAAAAGAGCUGCUGCGAAGACACCCGUAUGCUGAGUCCUUCCAUUAACUACCCGGAUUCCUAUUUUAAUUCCCAGAUACUGGAAAAACCUGUUGGCAUAAGCAAUAAAAAUUUCACUGACGUUCCAAA